rnacentral:rRNA from 1 species
GAUGAACGCCGGCGGCGUGCCUAAUACAUGCAAGUCGAGCGAACGGACGAGAAGCUUGCUUUUCUGAUGUUAGCGGCGGACGGGUGAGUAACACGUGGAUAACCUACCUAUAAGACUGGGAUAACUUCGGGAAACCGGAGCUAAUACCGGACAAUAUUUUGAACCGCAUGGUUCAAAAGUGAAAGACGGUCUUGCUGUCACUUAUAGAUGGAUCCGCGCUGCAUUAGCUAGUUGGUAAGGUAACGGCUUACCAAGGCAACGAUGCAUAGCCGACCUGAGAGGGUGAUCGGCCACACUGGAACUGAGACACGGUCCAGACUCCUACGGGAGGCAGCAGUAGGGAAUCUUCCGCAAUGGGCGAAAGCCUGACGGAGCAACGCCGCGUGAGUGAUGAAGGUCUUCGGAUCGUAAAACUCUGUUAUUAGGGAAGAACAUAUGUGUAAGUAACUGUGCACAUCUUGACGGUACCUAAUCAGAAAGCCACGGCUAACUACGUG